rnacentral:rRNA from 1 species
GAUGAACGCUAGCGGCAGGCCUAACACAUGCAAGUCGAGGGGCAGCGCAGAAACAGCAAUGUUUUGGUGGCGACCGGCGGACGGGUGCGUAACGCGUAUGCAACCUACCUUUAACAGGGGGAUAACGGAGAGAAAUUUCCACUAAUACCCCAUAACAUCGAUCAAGGCAUCUUGAUUGGUUGAAAACUCCGGUGGUUAAAGAUGGGCAUGCGUUGUAUUAGGUAGUUGGUGAGGUAAUGGCUCACCAAGCCUACGAUACAUAGGGGGACUGGGAGGUUAGCCCCCCAACCGGGUACUGAGACACGGACCAGACUCCUACGGGAGGCAGCAGUGAGGAAUAUUGGUAAAUGGGGGCAACCCUGAACCAGCCAUGCCGCGUGCAGGAAGACGGCUCUAUGAGUUGUAAACUGCUUUUAAACAGGGAUAAAGCACAGUAUGUAUACUGUGUUGAAGGUACUGUAAGAAUAAGGAUCGGCUAACUCCGUGCCAGCCGCCGCCGUAA